UUUGGUUUUCUCUGAGGGAAUUGCUUCGACUGGUUUUAGACAGACAAUAGAGACGACUUUCAGGUGGAUUAGACCAGAGAAGAUCAAGAAUUUUGGCGAAUUAUUCGCCGAAAAAUCUCACCUAAGCUGUGGUUUUUCUCCUCUAUUUUACCAUCCCGUUUUCAAUCUUCUUCUUUCAUCUCCCUCUCUCAGAUUCUCUCUCUUCUCCUCUCCUUUCUCACAUCUCUCCCUCGAUUUUUCCCUCUGUGUGUGUAUUCUAGUGUGGGGUAUAAAUUGUGAAGGGAAUCUUUGUUGUUUUCUUUGGUGAGGUCUACUAAUGGAGAGGGGCGAGAGGAUGAGUAGUUGAGAGUGUGUGUAUAUUGAAUAUUUUUUGUUUCCAGUGGGUGUAGAAUGUUGUAGUGAGUGGAAUUCCUCUCCAAG
rnacentral:lncRNA from 1 species